rnacentral:rRNA from 1 species
UCCGUAGGGUGCGAUCGAUAAUCGGAAUUACUGGGCGUAAAGCGUGCGCAGGCGGUCUCGUAAGACAGGUGUGAAAUCCCCGGGCUCAACCUGGGAACUGCGCUUGUGACUGCGAGGCUAGAGUGCGGAAGAGGGAGGUGGAAUUCCACGUGUAGCAGUGAAAUGCGUAGAGAUGUGGAGGAACACCGAUGGCGAAGGCAGCCUCCUGGGCCAGCACUGACGCUCAUGCACGAAAGCGUGGGGAGAAAACAGG